rnacentral:rRNA from 1 species
ACGGACUUUCAAAUCACCGGGAAUGCGGCCGAUCUUGUCAGAACUCGGAAGCUAAGCAGGUUUGAGCUUGGAUUGUACUUGGCUGGGUCAUCACCGUGGGCAAUGGACAAGCAGAGUGGGCA